rnacentral:lncRNA from 1 species
CAGAGGGACACUUAUGUCCAUACCCUUCGUGAGUUACCCUUGACAGCAGAGUUCUCCACAGUUGGUCACGUUCAGUGACGAUGUACUCCUAUAUCUCACUUGCAUACCAUACAGUAUCUCUAUACCAUUUGAUUAUGAGGACAAUCAAUGUAUAUGACACACAAUGACCCACACUUGAUAUCGCUAUCAUCCUAGUAAUAGCGUAUCAUUUGGUCGCGAAUCAAUUUAAGGACU